AACGAACGCUGGCGGCAGGCUUAACACAUGCAAGUCGAGCGCCCCGCCAGGGGAGCGGCAGACGGGUGAGUAACGCGUGGGAACGUACCUUUUGGUUCGGAACAACUCCGGGAAACUGGAGCUAAUACCGGAUAAGCCCUAACGGGGAAAGAUUUAUCGCCGAAAGAUCGGCCCGCGUCUGAUUAGCUAGUUGGUGAGGUAACGGCUCACCAAGGCGACGAUCAGUAGCUGGUCUGAGAGGAAGAUCAGCCACACUUGCACUGAGACACGGCCCAGACUCCUACGGAAGGGAGCAGAGGGGGAUAUUGCAAAAUGGGCGCAAGCAUGAUCCAGCCAUGCCGCGUGAGUGAUGAAGUCCUUAGAGUUGUAAAGCUCUUUUAUCCGGGAAGAUAAUGACGGUACCGGAAGAAUAAGCCCCGGCUAACUUCGUG
rnacentral:rRNA from 1 species